rnacentral:tRNA from 1 species
AAUUUGGUGGUAAAUACGCUGGAUUCAAAAUCCAGUUCUUUCGGGAGUGUGGGUUCGAUUCCCACCUCGAGUA